AACGUAGGGGCCAAGCGUUAUCCGGAUUUACUGGGCGUAAAGCGCCCGUAGGCGGCCUGACAAGUUGGACGUGAAAGCUCCUGGCUUAACUGGGAGAGGCCGUUCAAAACUGUCAAGCUAGAGUCUGGAAGAGGAGAGCGGAAUUCCCGGUGUAGUGGUGGAAUGCGUAGAGAUCGGGAGGAACACCAGUGGCGAAAGCGGCUCUCUGGUCCAAAACUGACGCUGAGGGGCGAAAGCGUGGGGAGCGAACGGG
rnacentral:rRNA from 1 species